AUAAUAAAAUAGGACGAGUGAUUCUAUUUUGUUGGUUUAUAGAACCACCGUAAUGAUUAAUAGGAACAGUUGGGGGCAUUAGUAUUCAGUUGCUAGAGGUGAAAUUCUUGGAUUUACUGAAGACUAACUACUGCGAAAGCAUUUGCCAAGGAUGUUUUCAUUAAUAAAGGACGAUGGUUGGGGGAUCGAAAAUGAUUAGAUACCGUUGUAGUCCCAACAGUAAACUAUGCCGACUGAGGAUUGGAUGACGUUAUAU
rnacentral:rRNA from 1 species